UCGCGGCUUAUCACCGGCAGUCCCCUUAGAGUGCCCAACUGAAUGAUGGCAACUAAGGGCGAGGGUUGCGCUCGUUGCGGGACUUAACCAAACACCUCACGGCACGAGCUGACGACAGCCAUGCAGCACCUGUACCGCCCCCCUUGCGGGUAGCCCACUUUCAUGGGUUUAGACGGCCUUUCAAGCCUAGGUAAGGUUCUUCGCGUUGCAUCGAAUUAAACCACAUGCUCCACUGCUUGUGCGGGCCCCCGUCAACUCCUUUGAGUUUCACCCUUGCGACCGUACUCCCCAGGCGGAGUGCUUAAUGUGUUGGCUUCGGCACAGCAGGGGUCGAUACCCGCUACACCAAGCACUCAUCGUUUACGGCGUGGACUAC
rnacentral:misc_RNA from 1 species